CCCCAAGGUCAGACCAUGGACUCAUCUCCAGACGUGAGAUCCCCUCUGAAUGAAGUCACUCCGAAAGAUCGCAUGACUUCAGAAAGUGACAUUUUGGAAUCACGAGCCAGUACAGCCUAUCAAAGCGUCUCCUCUCCUUCAACUAAUUUGUCAACUGACGAGGUCAGACCUACUGUUCCUUCUCCAUCACAGUCAUCCAGAGACGCUGUAGUGCACAAUGACACCUCUCCUUCAUCAGCCAUCUCACAGACCCCGGAGCUACAAGAUGUCACCACCCUCAACAUGGACACAGCCUCAGUACCAGGUUCUUCUGCUAGCAGCCCGUCAAUUUCUUUUUUGAAGAGCACCGUUUCAGAUUCAGUAGCCACCACAGCUCCUGCAACAUCCAUCAGUCCAAGUGAAGGACCUCAGACUGUCUCUUCUUCAGCCAGCAGUGUGAUCCAGACAACACAAACAGCUCCACCAUUCACCACCACUUGCCCUCAGGCAUCUCAGAUCGCCCUGACCAGCAGUUCAAAGGUCACUGGACCUGCUCCUUUGGAAGACCAGGAUGAAUCUUCUGAACUGGAUGUGGGGGAUCAAGAGUCAGGGAAGGUUCCCCACCGCCCUACAUCGCCCCUGGACCCCCUGCUCGCUGCUCUGGUCACCGUUUUCAUUAUUUGCACUGCCAUGGUCUCAGCCGUCCUCUUCCUCAGGUUCCGUCAGAGGAGUGAGCAUCCAGAAUUCCACCGGCUUCAAGACCUUCCUAUGCAUGAUCUUCUAGAAGACACGCCUUUGUCAAGAUACACCUAUUAGCAAUCAGGGCUGCACGAUUAAUCAAAAAAUAAAAACAUAAAUAAAAAAAUCACGAUCUCGAUUCAUACAUAAAUGUGAUCUCAUUUCUAAAUGACAGCGAUUCACUUGCAUGUUUGUCCCUCCAUUCAGAUCACACUGCAUUCACUUAUUUACUUUACAACAAUCCAAGAUGCUAUCAGUCAGACUUAUUGGUCACAAUCACACAGUGUAAAACAAAACACUUAUAGAUGAAAAAUAUCAGUUUCUACCAAAAAUAUUAGUUGUCAGAAGAUGAAAGCGAUAUAUUUGUCAUAGUACACUUUCAAUGUUUAUGGGGAUUUCUCGCGUCAGCGCUGUUCAAUGCAUUGCAUCAGUGCCAUAGAUCUCUAUGAAGUGAAAUAUCAGCUUCAGCGUUACUAAGGUGAUGUGUUGCUAGUCGAUUGACGCUUGUGAGGUGGUGUUUAAUGAUGAUUAUAAAACGGAUAGUUCCGGUCCUUGAUUCUGAUUGGUUGUGCCACGUUCAAAGCUGUUGUAAAUUACUCUACAAACAUACACCUUUGUUUACUUUUUGUGUUGCUUGGCAACCACUUUAUUGCAACCACAACUGUUUCUGAGGAACUACAUUGUUUGGUGGAAGAAUACCGUUUUUAUUAAUAUCAUUACACUUUAUUUGCUGUUUUAUUUUGUGAAACCUUACUACAUAUAUGGAAUAACCGUUUUAUAAAAGCAAUAAGCC
rnacentral:lncRNA from 1 species